ensembl:miRNA MIR9858 microRNA mir-9858
GGCUCCGGGGUUCCUGAGUCGGACUGGGCUGCGGAGCGUCUACACGCACCCCAUCCCCCUCCGGAGCGCUGAGGCUGG